rnacentral:rRNA from 1 species
GACGUAGGGUGCGAGCGUUGUCCGGAUUUAUUGGGCGUAAAGAGCUCGUAGGCGGCUCGUCGCGUCGACCGUGAAAACCCGCAGCUUAACUGCGGGCUUGCGGUUGAUACGGGCGGGCUAGAGUUCGGUAGGGGAGACUGGAAUUCCUGGUGUAGCGGUGAAAUGCGUAGAGAUGCGGAGGAACACCAGUGGCGAAAGCGGCUUCUGGUCCUUAACUGACGCUGAGGCGCGAAAGCAUGGGGAGCGAACGGG